GCACAAACAGUUAUAUUUUAUUAUAACAUUUUUACAUAACGUCUGAGAUUUUGGUUUGAAAAGUAGCACAAUGUAAAUUAUAAUUACACAGAUUUGAAAAUUCCUUUGGCUAAUUACAGGGCCAAACGUUACCCAAAUGAUAGAACUAAAUAAUAACUCAACUUGUAACAGUUUUGUUACAAAGCACAAUAUUAUGGUGAAAUUAGAUCUCGUGUUUGUUGAGUUAAAACAAAUUAUUGUUGUAUAAGCAUAGCAAGCAUCAUAGCAAAAAGGCUAACAAACUUAAGAGUUAUACCCACCAAUUAACAUUAGCCCUUCAUUCAUGAGAGAACAUACAUACAGUGAGAACAUAGUUGCAUACACCUUUAUCUUUUGCUCGUUUCUCCUCUUCUUCUUUUCUUUUUUUUUUUUUUCUAAGUUGCGCACCUGAUGGCUUUGACCUUUUCCUGUCCAUCUCUGUGUUUAUUUGGCACUCGACAAUCAACAGAUUUGUCACACUGUCACUCAGGACCAGAAGUCGUUUUGUAUUACCUAUUUUUAUUAGCCAUUUCACACAAUUCAGAAAAACAAAAAUGUGCAGGAACUAUAGGCCUGUAUUUAUAAUAUUAUGAAUGAAAUGUGCGUUAUUUGGAAGAAAGUCGAGGUGUGACUAACUUUAACCCACUAAUUCCAUUAGAGUAUUGCUCUAUACAGUAGAUCCCCCAUUCCCCCCUCUUGUCUGUUCCAUUUGGGAAAGAUCCAGAGGUGAACUGUCCCCCGCGUCAUGCCCCGAUCCCCUUUUCACACAGUUUCUGUGCAAGGCAGCUUCUCAGCAAGCAGGGGCACUAAUUUCCCAAUUCCCCACACAGUGAAAAACUUUUUUUAACUGCUCGUGCCGCCCCCCUUGUAUCAUGAAAAAAUGCCACCCCAGGCAGCUGCCCGGUUCGCCUGUGCCAAAAAGCGCUACUGACAGCAGUUGUUAUUAUCAUAGUUCUAUGUUUACAGGUCUAAGUAAUUUUAUAUAAUUCACGACAAAUUGUUUAAAAUAAUAAAAGG
ensembl:lncRNA